rnacentral:lncRNA from 1 species
GUAUUGUGACAUACAGAUAACCUGGGCUCAUAGAAAAUGUUGACGUGUGAAGUGGGUCCCUGGUUCGCGCCCAGCACGAACAGCACAGGGAUAGAUCACAAAAAACAACUAAUUCAUCACAUUAGCAGAAAAAAAUAUUGUUAUCAGAUUACAUAUACUUUUGAAAAACUAGAUGACUUCGUGUUUACUUUUAAAUUCAGAAAAGAUAAUUGCGGAAAAAAAAUCUUUGGCACUAAUCUUUUCUUAAUAACAUUCAAAUCAGCAUUGUAAAAAGGAGCACAUUUUAAAUUUGAAAAACGUGAGCGAGUCUGACCAUAAAUCAGAGACCACUAUGAUGACACACCAAAUGUGUUUGAUGGAUCGCGGGAAAAGAGCACAAAUAGACUUUUGUACCCUGCAGUCAAAGCUAUGUCUUCCAAUGGUGCGACUGCUGUCGGCAUCCAAAGAUUAUCCGACUUGAAUAAACGCUUGGAGGCAGGGGGGAAACCCGCCCUGCCUCUACCAUGGAAGAAACACUGCUGAUGAGAUUCGUUGAGCAGUACUCCCUGUGACUGGACCGAAAUACUACACAACGAAAGCCAAGGAAGCAGGAGAUAAGCAGAAUGAAGAAAUUAAAAACGGGACCAAAGGUCCACAGCCCAAUCAAGCUAAUCUGGGAGCAAACAGAGCAGAAGCAGCCGCAAGUCCUCAAUAGAGGAUAAGCCAAACUGAUCAAAUCAAAAUAAGUCCCAGAGAGGACCACAGCUACAACAAUCACUUUUAACCCUCAGAUAUAGGAGUCAAAUAGAUUUUUCAAAUACUUGUGCUACUUCAUUUAGUUUGUCCAGUAAAUUGUAAAGUACUGGAAUGGUUACAACAAAUCUCCAAUUGCACAUUUCAAUCGCCCCUCAAAGUAUUAGAAAAUAUUUGAGAUGUAUUUGACCAAGGUCUGAUAAUCACUGCUUCAUUCUUGUGCUUUAACAUCCAUUUAAGACGUGGUAAAAAUCCUGAGCGGGCACAAAAUACGUGAGAAUACCUGGGGGGUGGUCUGGAAGGGGGCUCUGUCAGGAAGUUAGCAUUUUUCAAACACCUGAAACGGCUUUUUCCUGAGAAAUGGCUUUUUCCUAAUCAUUAUGCUUAAGUCGGUUAAAAAAAUAAAAAAUCUGCAUGUCUAACUGUACCUUUUGAGCUGUCUGUGUCCUCCUGAUUGGUGGUUAUUUUGUUAAAGAAACUAAACAUGCUACUCUGCAUCGCUG